UAUAGAAUCAUAGAAUCAUAAAAUGGUUUGAGGCCUUUAAGAUUAUCUAUUCCCAAUCCCCCUGCCAUUGCCAGGGACACCUUCCACUGGAUCAGGUUGCUCAAAGCCCCAUCCAACCUGGCUUUGAACACUUCCAGGGACGGGGGAUCC